GAGGAGGAGGACGCCUGGAUUUGGCCCCGGCCUUGGCCUCAGCCCGUGGAGUUGGUGAUGGCAUCGUUAGAGGCCCGGGCCUCCUCUCCGGACAAGGCACUCGUGCUAGGCGGCGGCGAUCUGUGCGCCGGUUCAAGGAGGAAUGACAGCAAAGAGAAGAGAUCUUUUUGAAAUUCUUAAGGCCGGGUUAAGGCAGAUGUCGACGGCAUGGAUCCGUCGACGGGGGCCUGGUGGGCGUGGCGGCGGCUGGAAGGGUAGCAGAGGCCUGUGGGGCGUCGGCCGGAACGGCAGCGAGAGAAACCUUCUCUUCUCCCCUCCUUGCGUCCUGGGCAUCUUCCUCUCCAAGUUUACUGGUUUUGGUUCAGUUUGAAGGACUCAUCGGGCUUAAGAUCUUGGUUUCAUUAGAAUUACAGAAUUUCUUUGCUCGGUAGUCUUGCCGUCUUGCCGCUGGUGGCAGGUUUUACUUUGUGGGGUGUAGAUUCUUAUUGCCGGUGACACCUCAUGAAUUUUCUUUUCAAGCUUUAAUUAGUCUUGCCGUCUUGCCACUGGUGGCAGGUUUUACUUUGUGGGUUGUAGGUUCUAUUGCCGGUGACACCUCAUGAAUUUUCUUUUCAAUCAUUAAUUUAUAUGGUCGUUCGCUGGAUGCUCGCUGCUAUGUAUGGUUCAUAUGGCCGCCGACUCGAAAAUCACUGCUAUCUUUGGGUCAUGAUAUGGUCGUCGACUAGACGCACGCGGUUUGAAUGAUCUCAUUGCCUAUGGCUGGCAAUACACACUUUUCUUUACUAGCCAGCCAGGAAGGCGUCUCGGCUCGCGAUCGCUGCGCCGUGAGCAACAACGCUCAUUACUACCUGCCAGGCCUUCUCAAAGUGAUUGAAAUUUGGUAAAUUCCAUUCCUUUGUGCUGCAUUGUACCUUCCAUGCUUUUUGCAGUCAGUGAAUCUGAUAUCAUAACCUCUCAUUUAGAAUUUUCUUGAUAGGCAAAACAACCAGUUCUCAUUUAUCUGGAUGGUUUUCAAAAUGGCAUAAUAUGUCAUUUGCACUAUCAUCGAUCAUUGAAAUUUAGUUGCUCCAGUUUUUCAUAGAUUACAAUUGUGUAGACUUUGUCUUUUCCACUUACCAUCGCCAUUUUUGUGAUGAUACUUCACUAGGAAUAUUUUUUGGUGCUUCUCAUCUGAAAAUGGAUUCAGAAUGUGGUCAGUUUUGCAAUGCAUGGGAGUUCAAUUUUUCUGCAUGCACAGUUAUAUAUUUUUAGUCCAUUGACUUGAAAAGUGAGUGCUUCUUGGUUGUUUCUGUUGUUUAUCCAGGAGGUUCUUGGUGCUUGGUUUUUUGCUACUUGUGCAGUAUUGUACUAUGCCCAUAUAAAUGACGAAUUAUAUUUUGUUCCGCGGACGAGCAAAGUUUGCUGUCUGCGUAGUAACUUUGGUGGCGAGCCCGAGUGCCGGUGGGAGCAGUGGCCGGGUCAAGGCAGGUGUUGACGGUCUGGGAUGGUCCACGGCACCGGCAUCCUCAGCAGAAAGGCAAAGCCAAGAUGAAUCUCUCAUAUUUUUGUCAGCCAUGGAUCAGAAGAUGUAGAAGAAAAAUCCAUGUUUUGUUUCUUUGUGCCUACAAGGUGUUUGAUGAAAUCCAAAAAGGCUGACAGGGGAGGACUGAUCUAUGUAAGUCAUGCGAUUUCAUUUUUCUAUUAUUUAGUUCCAUUCAAAGAUAACAAGUUAGGUAGGAGUAGUAACUUGUUUAUGACUUAGUCUAUGUUUAGUCUUGUGUAUUGUUAAUCUGUCUUUGCUCCCUCGCAAAAAUUAAAAUCUUUUCGCUGCUAUAUGAGAAUUUGUAGCAAUUAAAAGAAGCCAAUGGAAGCUACAUAACUGAAGAAAUGUUCAGUUCUAUAUAUUACUUGGACCUGAUUACUUUAGAAUCUUUUCGCUGCUAUAUGAGAAUCGUUAGCAAUUAAAAGAAGCCAAUGGAAGCUACAUAACUGAAGAAAUGUUCAGUUCUAUAUAUUACGUGGACCUGAUUACUUUAGAAUCUUUUUGCUGCUAUAUGAGAAUUUGUAGCAAUUAAAAGAAGCCAAUGGAAGCUACAUAACAGAAGAAAUGUUCAGUUCUAUAUAUUACUUGGACCUGAUUACUUUAGAAUCUUUUUGCUGCUAUAUGAGAAUUUGUAGCAAUUAAAAGAAGCCAAUGGAAGCUACAUAACUGAAGAAAUGUUCAGUUCUAUAUAUUACUGUAACAUCCCAAAUUUUCAAUUUGGAAUGUUUUACAAUUAUUAGCUAAGCAUCUAUGCAUUUUGUUUGAAUUGUAUGGCAUUUGAAAAUUUUCAGAGGCAUUUGAGUUUUAUUUGAAUUUGGAUUCAACUUGGCAUUUGAAAUUUAUUUCAAAUAUCCCUGACAAAUACUUGUUUAAAAGUAUGAGAGGAGCAAACAUGACAUUCCAAAAAAAUGUCAGAAGAAAAUAUUGCCAAAAGGUUUGAAUUCAAAUUUGAAUUUUAUUUGGAAUUUGCAGAAAAUGUUUUUUUAGUUUCCGUUUUGCCUCUGGAAAAAUGUCCACGUUGUAGGAUUUUGUUUCUAAUUUUUUGAUAUAUAAUAUGUCCUAUAUAAAAAUACUAUAGGUUUCACUAUAAUUAGUUUUCUCUAUCUGUGGUAAUUCAAAAAAAAGG